rfam:Schistosoma mansoni strain Puerto Rico chromosome 3, complete genome
AUCCAGCUGACGAGUCCCAGACAGAAUGAAAUACGUGUCCUGGAU